CAGCGCCACAAGUGGCAAUCACGAUUAUUGGGUCUAAAGCGUCCGUAGCCGGUUUGAUAAGUCUUUUGUGAAAUUGUUGGACUAAAUACAACAGCGUGCAAAAGAUACUGUCAGACUUGGAACUGGGAGGAGUAAGGAGUAUUCCAAGGGGAGCGGUAAAAUGCUAUAAUCCUUGGAGGACUACCUGUGGCGAAAGCGCCUUACCAGAACAGCUUCGACGGUGAGGGACGAAAGCCAGGGGAGCAAACCGGAUUAGAUACCCGAGUAGUCC
rnacentral:rRNA from 1 species